rnacentral:rRNA from 1 species
AGAGUGAACGCUGGCGGUAGGCCUAACACAUGCAAGUCGAACGGCAGCACAGUAGGAGCUUGCUCUUACGGGUGGCGAGUGGCGGACGGGUGAGGAAUACAUCGGAAUCUACCUUUUGGUGGGGGAUAACGUAGGGAAACUUACGCUAAUACCGCAUACGCCCUUCGGGGGAAAGCCGGGGACCAGCAAUGGCCUGGCGCUGAUAGAUGAGCCGAUGUCGGAUUAGCUAGUUGGUGAGGUAAUGGCUCACCAAGGCGACGAUCCGUAGCUGGUCUGAGAGGAUGAUCAGCCACACUGGAACUGAGACACGGUCCAGACUCCUACGGGAGGCAGCAGUGGGGAAUAUGGACAAUGGGCGCAAGCCUGAUCCAGCCAUACCGCGUGGUGAAGAAGGCCUUCGGUAGUUAAGCCCUUUGUUAGGAAAGAAAGCAAUUCGGUAAGUACCGGUGUUCGUAGACGGUAACCAAAGAAUAA